UUUUUUGAAGGAAGAAGAAAGAAUACUUGAUCAUUGAGUAGUGACAAAAGAGGUUAAAAUAUUUGUAUAUUUGUUGUUUGACUUGACUACCGCGUUUUGAUCAACCAUAAAAAGAAUGAGGAAGAAUAAGGAGUCAUUGGAGGUGUCAUGGCAAAUCAACAAUUCUCCUCCACUUCCUUCACCAACCAUGUGUUCAUAAGCUUUCAAGGUGAAGAUACUCGUAUAGGUUUUGUCAACAAUCUCCGAAAAGCUUUGAAUGACAAAGGAAUCAAAACCUUCAUCAAUGAUAAGGAGCAUCAAAAAGAAGAAAUCACACCAGCAAUUUUAAAUGUCAUUCGAGAGUGCAAGAUUGUCAUUAUCGUGUUAUCAAAUAACUAUGCUGCAUCUUCAUUUCGCUUGUAAGAACUUGCCUUUAUCGUUGACAACUUUAAAAUCACAACAAUCAAUUCAUUUUUCCAGUUUUUUACAACAUCGAACCUUGUACUGUGCGAAAGGAAACUGGAUCCUAUGGUAUGGCGUUGGAAAAUCAUGAGCGUGAUAACAAGAAAACGCGUAAAUGGAGAGGCGCUUUAACUGAAGUAUCUAACUUGUCCGGGUGGCAAUUCAAACAUGGGUAUGGAAAUGAACACAAGAUUAUCAGCAAUAUUGUAAAACAGGUCUCCACGAGAAUUCAGCGUGUUCCUAUACACAAUGAAAUUUCCGAUGUGGAUCGUAAAGUUUCUCAAGCUUCACAGAGUGUUCCUGGUGUUUCUCAGACUGCUCACAAGGCUACUAAAGUUAAGAUGCCAAUUCCACAUUGGGAUUUCAAAGCUGAGAAGACGUGGAGAGUAGUUGGGCUUAUGUCAAGUGUAGUUGGCCUGUUAUGUUAUGCUCUGAGCCCUUCUUUCAAUCGAUUAAUUGGAAGGUGGAAACCUUUCAAGUUCUUUCUCUAUGGAGUGUCAUCUUUAGUCAUCUUUACCACCGUAUUGUUUGCAAAGCAGUCAUCACUUCCCAAACAACAUGCUCAAUUCAUAAAAACUUGCACAAUCUUUGCGGUUUUGGUGAUCAUCUAAGUGUACUCAUUCGUCUACGACAGAGCUGUCAAUGGAAAACCUAACAUACUUAGUGUAGUUUCAAACGCUUCGUUUGCUUUGGUGUCAUUAAGCUUGCACAAACUGUUUAAGUUGAAGUCUGAGAUGGGGAAGGGAAUGAAUCUGAGUUUAUCGGCAACAUUGUAGAACAUGUGUUCAGGAUGUUUGAUGGUGCUCCUCCUUUACACACUGCAGUAAGACAUGAAAAACCAAAAACCUAACCCUCUGGGCUCUCUUUUUUCCAGUUAUUUUCUUCUUUCCAUGCAAUCAUCUGAAAACAUCUUUUACACAAACACAAUUGCUUCAAACUUUUUUAAGCUAUAAAUCUGACUGAAAUUAUGAGUUCUUGUUAUCGUGCAGAUUUCGGAUGUGGUUCCUGAAGUUUCUCAAACUUCAGCGAAUGUUCACGAAGUUGCUUCAGUUGUGAUGUCGAUUUCAUUUCACAGAAUGUUCAAGGUGUUGCAAGCCAAGACGACUUGGAGAGUACUUGGCUUGUUAAGUUAUGCUCUAGGCCCUUCUUUCAAUCGAUUAUUUGGAAGGUGGAAUCCUUUCAAGGUCUUUCUCUAUGUAGUGUUGUCCUUAGCCAUCUUAACAACCAUAUUAUUUGCAAAGCAGUCAUCAAUUUCCACUUUCCACACGAUAUGUUCAACUCAAAACUUGCACACUCUUUGCAGUUUUGAUGAUCAUCUCAGUGUAUUCAUUCUUCUACGACAGAGCUUUGAAUGGAAAACCCGACAUACUGAGUGUAGUUUCAAACGCUGCAUUUUCUAUGGUGUCCUUAAGCUUGCACAAACUCACUAACUUUGGGUUUGAGAUUGGUGGGUUCUCUUAUUUCUUAGGUUGCUUUACAAUUCAACUGUUGACCAUCAACUGGAUAUUGAUUUUUGUUGCCAUAAUCUACGGUUGUCUGCUCUUUGUUAUACGUUCCUCUCUGAAUUCCCAACCGGAGGUGGCCAGUGAAGGUCAUGCUAUUCCUCCGUGAAGAAAGUUUAAGUGUUGUUGCAUUAUAGCUUAAUUUGGUUUUGUAAUCCAUUUGUUCAAUAAUAUGGAAUUGUCAGUUUAUUUCUUGAUUCUGAGGAAAUUUACUAAGAGUGGUCUGCAUUGUGAAGGAGAACAAAGUUUUAAGUUUUGCAAAUCGAUAUUUUCUAAAUGGAAUGAGGUGUAAAUUUUGUAUGCUAGAUGUGAAAGAAAGUCUUUGGAUUAAAGGUUUAGUUUAGGAACUGAGUUUGA